rnacentral:rRNA from 1 species
AUUGAACGCUGGCGGCAGGCCUAACACAUGCAAGUCGAGCGAGCGGCGGACGGGUGAGUAAUGUAUGGGGACUGCCCGAUAGAGGGGGAUAACUACUGGAAAAGGUGGCUAAUACCCCAUACUGUCGGAUAACCCAUAUGGGAUUAGCUAGUAGGUAAGGUAAUGGCUUACCUAGGCGGCGAUCCCUAGCUGGACUGGGAGGAUGAUCAGCCACACUGGGACUGAGACACGGCCCAGCCUCCUACGGAGGCAGCAGUGGGGAAUAUUUCACAAUGGGCGCAAGCCUGAUUCAGCCAUGCCGGGUGUAUGAAGAAGGCCCUAGGGUUGGAAAGUACUUGCAGUCGGGAGGCGUGUCCGACAGAAGAAGCACCGGCUAACUCCGUGCCAGCAGCCGCGGUAAUUG